AAGAAACCAACAGGGAUUGCCUCAGUAACGGCGAGUGAAGCGGCAACAGCUCAAAUUUGAAAUCUGGCCCUAGGCCCGAGUUGUAAUUUGCAGAGGAUGCUUUUGGUGCGGUGCCUUCCAAGUUCCCUAGAACGGGACGCCAGAGAGGGUGAGAGCCCCGUACAGUUGGACACCAAGCCUUUGUAAAGCUCCUUCGACGAGUCGAGUAGUUUGGGAAUGCUGCUCAAAAUGGGAGGUAUAUUUCUUCUAAAGCUAAAUACCGGCCAGAGACCGAUAGCGCACAAGUAGAGUGAUCGAAAGAUGAAAAGCACUUUGAAAAGAGGGUUAAACAGCACGUGAAAUUGUUAAAAGGGAAGCGCUUGUGACCAGACUUGCGUCCGGUGAAUCACCCAGCUCUCGCGGCUGGGGCACUUCGCCGGCUCAGGCCAGCAUCAGCUCGCUGUCGGGGACAAAAGCUUCAGGAACGUAGCUCUCUUCGGGGAGUGUUAUAGCCUGUUGCAUAAUACCCUUCGGCGGGCUGAGGUACGCGCUCCGCAAGGAUGCUGGCAUAAUGGUCAUCAGCGACCCGUCUUGAAACACGGACCAAGGAGUCAACCUUAUGUGCGAGUGUUCGGGUGUCAAACCCCUACGCGUAAUGAAAGUGAACGCAGGUGAGAGCUUCGGCGCAUCAUCGACCGAUCCUGAUGUUCUCGGAUGGAUUUGAGUAAGAGCAUAUAGGGUUGGACCCGAAAGAAGGUGAACUAUGCGUGUAUAGGGUGAAGCCAGAGGAAACUCUGGUGGAGGCUCGCAGCGGUUCUGACGUGCAAAUCGAUCGUCAAAUAUGCGCAUGGGGGCGAAGACUAAUCGAAACCUUUCUAGUAGCUGGGUUUCCGCCGAGGUAUCCCUCAGAUAAGCAGUGUUGGACUCAGAUUUAUGGAAGUAAGCGAUGAUUAGGAACCUCGGGGG
rnacentral:rRNA from 1 species